rnacentral:rRNA from 1 species
UCUUGCGCAAUGGGCGAAAGCCUGACGCAGCCAUGCCGCGUGUAUGAUGAAGGUCUUAGGAUUGUAAAAUACUUUCACCGGUGAAGAUAAUGACUGUAGCCGGAGAAGAAGCCCCGGCUAACUUCGUGCCAGCAGCCGCGGUAAUACGAAGGGGGCUAGCGUUGCUCGGAAUUACUGGGCGUAAAGGGAGCGUAGGCGGACAUUUAAGUCAGAGGUGAAAUCCCGGAGCUUAACUUCGGAACUGCCUUUGAUACUGGGUGUCUUGAGUGUGAGAGAGGUAUGUGGAACUCCGAGUGUAGAGGCGAAAUUCGUAGAUAUUCGGAAGAACACCAGUGGCGAAGGCGACAUACUGGCUCAUUACUGACGCUGAGGCUCGAAA